AUGAAGAACGUAGCGAAAUGCGAUAAGUAGUGUGAAUUGCAGAAUUCAGUGAAUCAUCGAAUCUUUGAACGCACAUUGCGCCCCUUGGUAUUCCAUGGGGCAUGCCUGUUCGAGCGUCAUUUGUACCUUCAAGCUCUGCUUGGUGUUGGGUGUUUGUCUCGCCUCUGCGUGUAGACUCGCCUCAAAAUAAUUGGCAGCCGGCGUAUUGAUUUCGGAGCGCAGUACAUCUCGCGCUUUGCACUCAUAACGACGACGUCCAAAAGUACAUUUUUACACUCUUGACCUCGGAUCAGGUAGGGAUACCCGCUGAACUUAAGCAUAUCAAUAAGCGGAGGA
rnacentral:misc_RNA from 1 species